rnacentral:pre_miRNA from 1 species
GUGAGAUGAAAUUAGUGUUUGGACAUGCGAUUUUAGCUGAUUCCAUCUCAUGA